ensembl:lncRNA
AUAUAUAUAUAUAUAUAUAAAAUUUUUAGUACACCUAGGUGAUUAGGAACAGGAAAUUGUUCAACCAUGACUUCCUGUUUCACAGCGUUAUAAAUAUGAGGUAACACAUAGGCCAAAUUCCCUUAGUCAUUCAUAACAAUGGGUUAGAACAAGGAAUAUAGCUGUAAUGUGCAGCAAAAUGUUGUUGAGCUUCACAAAAUGGGAAGUGGCUAUAAGAAAAUAGCAAAAGCAUUGAAAAUGCCUGUUUCCACCAUCAGGGCAAUAAUUAAGAAGUUCCAGUCAACUAGACAUGUUAUGAAUCAACCUGGAAGAGGAUGUGUGUCUAUAUUGUCUCAACGCACUGUGAAGAGGAUGUUUCGAGUGGCCAAAAAAUCUCCAAGGAUCACAGUUGGAGAAUUGCAGAAGUUAGUUGUCAGAAAGUCUCCAAAACUUCUGAAGUCGCCUACAUCACCACAUGUUGUUUGGAAGGGUUUGAAGAAAAAGCCUCUACUCUCAUCCAAAAACAAACUCGAGCAUCUUCAGUUUGCCAGAAACUACUGGAACUUCAAAUGGGAUCAGGUUCUAUGGUCAGAUGAAACCAAAAUAGAGCUUUUUGGCAAUAAACACCAAAGGUAGCCAUAUGGAAAGGUACCUCAUGUCUACGGUUAAAUAUGGUGAUGGCUCUUUAAUGUUUGGGUCUGUUUUUCUGCCAGAGGACCUGGACAUUUUCUUAGGAUACAUGGCAUCAUGGACCCUAUCAAAUAUCAACAGAUAUUAAUGAAAACCUGACUGCCUCCGCCAGAAAGCUUAAAAAUGGUCAUGGGUCUUCUAGCAGGAUGUUCCAGCAGGACAGUGAUCCCAAACAUACAUCAAAAUCAACACAAAAAUGGUUUACUGACCACAAACUCAAGGUCCUGCCAUGGCCGUCCCAGCACCCUGACUUGAAACCCACAGACAGCCUGUGGGGUGAACUGAAGAAGAGAGGUUCACCAGCGUUUGAAGGAUUUGGAGAGAUUCUGUAUGGAGGAAUGGUCUCGGAUCCUUUGCCAUGUAUACACCAACCUCUUCAGGAAUUAUAGGAGAAGACUGUUAUCUUGGCAAAGGGAGAUAGCACAAAGUAUUGACUAAAAGGGUGUCUACUUGUUGUACACACAUUUAACAAAUAUAUUUUUUGGAUAAACCUGUGUUUGCAGUUGUGUGAUAUACAUGAGCACAGAGUAUUUUUGUGAUUUUUUUUAACAAAAGAGUAAAAGGUUAAACAAUAAAGACAAUUUUUCACAGCCUUCUUUGCUUAUAUUUACCAAGGGUGCCAAUAUUAGUGGAGGGCACUGUAUGUAUGUAUGAAUGAACACAGGAAUUAAUGAUUGACCCUUCAGUGAAUUAGCAGUGUAUUUGUUAUGGGGUUCCUGGCAUGAGGCACAGUUGAUUAGUUGAGUUUAAAGACAAAAAUGUUAACUAUUACUUUAUCAAGUUCUAUUUUUAUAUUUUUUUUUCCCUGUUCUAUUCAUUACAAUAAUUACAAUGAGACAAAUAAAG